rnacentral:rRNA from 1 species
UACGAAGGGUGCAAGCGUUACUCGGAAUACUGGGCGUAAAGCGUGCGCAGGCGGUUAUGUAAGACAGAUGUGAAAUCCCCGGGCUCAACCUGGGAAUGGCAUUUGGGACUGCAAGGCUGGAGUGCGGCAGAGGAGACUGGAAUUCCUGGUGUAGCAGUGAAAUGCGUAGAUAUCAGGAGGAAUACCGAUGGCGAAGGCAGGUCUCUGGGCUGACACUGACGCUCAUGCACGAAAGCGUGGGGAGCAAACAGG